rnacentral:rRNA from 1 species
GACGAACGCUGGCGGCGUGCUUAACACAUGCAAGUCGAACGGUAAGGCCCUUCGGGGUACACGAGUGGCGAACGGGUGAGUAACACGUGGGUGAUCUGCCCUGCACUUCGGGAUAAGCCUGGGAAACUGGGUCUAAUACCGGAUAGGACCACUGCCUGCAUGGGUGGUGGUGGAAAGCUUUUGCGGUGUGGGAUGGGUUCGCGGCCUAUCAGCUUGUUGGUGGGGUGAUGGCCUACCAAGGCGACGACGGGUAGCCGGCCUGAGCGGGUGACCGGCCGAUCUGGGGCGGGGUUACGGCCAACACUCCGAGGGGAGGCCGCGGUGGGGAAGUUGGGGCAAUGAGCGCAAGCCGGAGGCACCGGCGCCGGGUGGGGGAUGACGCCUUUCGGGUUGUAAACCUCAUUCAGAACCGACGAAGCGAAAGUGACGGUAGGUGCAGAAGAAGGACCGGCCAACUACGUGCCAGCAGCCGGCGCCG